rnacentral:rRNA from 1 species
UACGUAGGGAGCAAGCGUUGUUCGGAUUUACUGGGCGUAAAGGGCGCGUAGGCGGCCUGUCAAGUCAACUGUGAAAUCUCCGGGCUUAACUCGGAACGGUCAGUUGAUACUGUCAGGCUAGAGUGCAGAAGGGGCAAUCGGAAUUCUUGGUGUAGCGGUGAAAUGCGUAGAUAUCGGGAGGAACACCAGUGGCGAAGGCGGCGAUCUGGGUGGAUACUGACGCUGAGGUGCGAAAGCGUGGGGAGCAAACAGG